GAUUUUCUCCCUCAGGCAAUUCUGUGUCCUCAAAAUAAAUAACCAAAAAUAAAUGACCAAUGUCCACAUUUGCUUCUUUACAUAUUAGCACCUUAUCUACACAAACAUGUCGUAUUACUUUGCAAACUUAUUCUUCUCUGUCUUUUUUUUUCUCUUGCAAUUAUAACAUCAAAAUCCUGUCAGCACCAUAUCACAGCAAAGG